UUGGAAGGGAACAAAGGAGUUUCUGUUGAAAUACCAAAGCCCAAAGAUGCCACUUCAAAGAGAGCUGAGUCGACCACUUUUGGACUUAUAAAUAAGUUUGUACAGUCAUCGUUGUCAUCAUGAUCAACUGAACAACUACCUCUGAUGACCCAUCACUAUGGAAGAUCAACAUCUGCACUAUGUGCAGUGCUGGACUCAUAGUGAUACAGCCAAGAUAUUUGAAGAGAUUUUUUGUUUCACCUACUUUUCAGCACCUUCUAGUGGAAGGACCAGCCUUCAGCAUCAACAAAGAUAUUUAAGAGACAAAAUAUCUAUGAAUUCUGGAUAACUAACUCAUUUUCAACUAAAGGUCAAAAUGGUUGUAAAAAAUCAACAAAUGUCUUUUAAUUUUCUUUGAGAAAGCAUCUUCCUAGUUGGACAUAAGUAAAUUUACACAGAAGUGACCUCUGACUUAUAGUUGGAGCUCAGAUCAUGAACCAUACUGGUGUGCUUAAGAUGACAAAAUUACAGGCUGUAUGCUGUAGUUUAAUGUGGCAUGCAGUUCUGCACCCACAGACAUUCACUUACUCCUUUCUCCCAAUGGGGUGGGGAGAGAGCUGGGAAGGUAAAACCCAAGUACAAUUCAUGGGCUAAGAUAAAAACUGUUGAAACCAGAACAGUGAUAAUUUUUCAGUAAGUCAAGCGUUCUGUUUUCAGUGUUCUGUUAAGCAUCUGUUUAAUGAGAUACAGAGAAGAAUUGGAAAAAUAUUGCAUUUAAAGUAAAAAGCAAGAAACAAAAUCUCAUUAAUUCUAUGGCAUAUCAAGAGACAUUAAUUAUGCAUAUAGACCAAUGUACAAAUUAAUAUCAUAACAGAUCCAUUAAUGUUGAGAUGUUGCAUGGUUGUCACUAUUUUUGACAACAUGACCUUCCUGAAUAUGCUUUUUUUUUUUUUUUUUUUUUUCCCAAUAAUACCUCUUUCAGUUAAUGUCGUAAGCAAUAAAAUUUGAUCUAAAGAGUUAAAAACUGUUCCCCUCUCCUAUGUUCACCUAAUUAUUUACAUUGUGAUAAUUUGUGUAUUCGGUAAUCAGAGUGUGGGAGUUUGGCAAAGGUUUUCUUCAUUUAUUCUGUGAUUGCUUAACCUAUCAUGUGUUGCUAUUUCAGGUUGUUUUAUGAAAAGGUUCUAAAAGUCCAGCAUAUAAAACAAAUAAUACUUAGCAGCCAAUUUAAUAAUAAAUAACUGCAAAUGUUUAUGAGAAGCUUUACUGAAAAUCUUUCUUUUGCUUGAGAUACCACCCACUUUUGCAGAUGUCCGUCCUACUCAUUAUAUUCAGGAAGCAGAAAUCUCACCAUUUCCAAUGGUAGAAAAUGCUUGGGAUCAGUCUUCUCAAGCUAUGGUUUUUGCAUGUCUAGGAGGUUUGAUGACAAAAUGGCUGUAUUAACAUCUUUCUUAACUUGAUUCCUGUGGGGUUAAGGAAAACUCCAUGGAAUGUCAUUAUUCCCUUAAAGAUAUGCAUUUUGCUUGACUGACAAAGUGGUUUGAUUCCAAAUCAGCACUUUUUGCUGGAAAAAUUGGAUGUCAUCAAUAAGAGAUGGAGUCAUUUUACUGGUUUGUUUUUAUUUUCUUCUGAACUUUUUAACUAAAGUCAAAAUAACUAGUGUGAGUAAAAGAAAUGCACGUGCAUUUAAAAUAUUGUUUAUCAGAAUUUUAAUAUGUUAAGAUACUAGUAUUAUUUUUGCAUUUCAAAACAGAAAGAACAAACUGAUAUAAAUGUACUAUUUUAAAUAUGUAUAAUAAUUGCUUUCUCCCCACUUGAUUGUUUAGGAUAGUGUUAAGGAAGUAAAUAUAACAAAAGGGAUGAAGUUUUUGAGCUUUAAAUAUUACAUUUGAGCUACUCACUUUAGAUUUGAAGCAUAGUUAAGCAAAGAAAUAACCACUUUUAUGAACACUUCUGACACUUUAGAAAGUACUUUAAGAUAUUAUCCGAUAUUAAGAUCUUGUGUAAAAUUCUAUUUCAAUUAACAAUGUCUAACUCAUAAAACUGUCUUACGAGUUUUUCUUCUUUAUUACAUCCAAGCUCAUUUACUCUCAGGUUUUCUUUUGGAGAUAAUCAAAUAAUUCACUUAGAAAGAGACAAAACAUUUUUUCAUUUGCCUUCAGGCAGACACUGUAUAUGCAUAUGGAUGUCUUCAGCCACAAGCAUUCUUUAACUCUGUGUAGGUAUAUCACUGGUUGUCAAACUUUCACUUUUUCUUGCUGCUUCACAGUAUAAGCUAAUAAAUGUAUUUUUGGUGAACUGUGGAAUUUCCUCCUAUUAUUUCAGGCUCUUUCACUUGAAAACAAUAGUCCAAAUAGUUGUGUCUCAACAUUUCAAAAACACCUCUUGAAUCCUGCAGAAGACUAUUAUGCUACAAAGCAACGGCUUUGGAGACUAGUAUGCUCCUGAGGACACAACUGUUUUUGAACAAAUUACUUUGGUAUCCAGUAUUCUAUCCCAAAUGUAACCCAGGAAAAAGUGUAGAUGAAAUUUAUGGUGACACCCUUAAAUAAAAAUACUCACUAUGUAGAUCACUACACUUGGCAACAUGAGUCCUGGUCUAUCUUUCAGAGUAUUAAAGAAAUUAUUUCAUGAUAAUGCCCACACAGUUUACCAGUUUGAAUGUAAUAAAUGCAACAAAACUUUGAGUUGCUAUUCAUAAGUGACAGUCUUUUUUCACUGUUGCCUUUAGGGAUUGCUCUAAAAGGCAGUAUUCUCCAAGCUGUAUUAGACAACAUAAUUUUUGCUUCCUUUUUAAAUGAUGUGCCUUUAAAACUAUCAGUGGCAGUCUCAAAGAUUUGAAACCUACAUGUAUGGCUAGUUAGCUUAUUGGCUGCUGACAGUUACUGCUAUGGCAUUCUGCUAUGAUGUGCAAAAAUGACGCUUGUUUGACUUUUUUCUUUUAUAUCAUUAGCUUUCAUUAUUUUUUGCAUCGCCUUUUAGCAGUACUGUUCUGCUCUUUUUCACUAGUCUGAAACACCGUCAUAAUUACAGAUGGAAUUUUAGGAAAGGAAAGAAUGAAAAUGAGAAAUAUUAUGUAAAAUCAAGCUCCGUCUUUGUCUUAAGUGCUGAGUGUAGCUUUCAUUCUCUCAUCUCAAAAAAUUAAACCUGGAACUCUUUCAAGAGUGACAGAUAAUCAGAGAUUGUAAUCGUUUUUGUAUGAGUCAUGACAAAAUUAGCUUCUAAACUCAGCCUGAAAAAGAAAUAACCAAAGGAAAAUUAGAGAGAGAUCUCAAAUGUUAUCCCUGGCAAACAGGAAGAAAACAAGGAUCAAUUUUUCACAUUGUCAUUCAGCAGAACAAGGAGCUAGUAGUUGGAAAAUACAAUAAAAAAGAAAAAACUGCAUAAAAAAGAAAGGUAGUUUUUGUAUAUUUUUUCUAAUAUUUUGUAGUACAAUGUUACAAUGUAGAGUUCUGUACAAUGUUAUCAACAUUAACUUCAAAAGAGUCAUACUGAUGCAGAAAAUCCAUUGAGACUUAUUAAAUAUAAAAUGACAUUUCUCAGAAAUAAAACCAGAAAAACAGAAUUUGUAUGAUGGAUUCUUCAGCUUUAAUUCAUUCAGUUCCACAGUUUUCACUUCUUUCUUCUCUCUCUUCUUUGAAAAUAUACCAUUCUUAUGCUUUAUGUAUGCAUGGCACAUAGAACUCUUCAAAGUAGGUUCUUUCUUAAGAUUCCUUUAGCUGAAAUAACUGAAACCUGUUGUAGCAGGAUUCAUGAAGUACUUCAAAAUCACUGUCAAUAUAAAGAUUAACUUCUUGUUUACUGUUUGGUGAUCUAUUCAUCCUAUGUAACUUCAACAGUUUUCAGAGAAAUUUUAGUUGCACUACUCUCCCAGGGGGCACAAACACAUGCUGGAGGCCACCCCACCACAAAGCACCUCUGCAGAAAAAGAUGUAGAAGUUUUGGUACACACAAGCUGAACUUGAGUGAGCAGUAUGCUCUUGUGUCUAAGAAAGGUGAUGAUAUUCUUGGCUGCAUUAGGUAAACUAUCCACAACAGGAUGAGAAAGGUGAGUGCAUCCCCCAGCGUUGUUAAGACUGCAAUAGGAAUACUGUUCAGUUCUGAGUCCUCCAAUACAUGACUUCAUAAAAAGAUGAGAAUAUGUAAUGGAGAAUGACAGUCGGGUCACUGACUGACUGAAAGCUAUAUAGUGUGGCAGAUAAAUUCUGAGAAACAGAGGCACACAGAAUCCAGAACUACAGUUCCAGAUACAUACAUAAUUUCUAUAAAGAGAAACUAUAGCCAAACAAACAAGGAUAUUUUAACUUUAUAUUUUCUUUCUCCAAAAGCUCAUUACUGAAGAAAAGCUACUUUCUGGAAGAUGUUUUACUUAUGUUUUCCUACUGUCUGUCACAGUUAUGAAGGAUUAGUGACUGCUGUUGAGAGAGUUUUUGUGUAAUUCUAAGAGCACAAAAAUGAAUAUAAAGUAUUGGGAAAAAGUCAGUUGUAAACCCGGCAUAGGGCUGUGGAUAUUCAU